rnacentral:lncRNA from 1 species
ACAUUUCGACGGUGGUCUUGGCGAUGGUGAUGGUGUUGGUUUUGGUUUUGGCGUCGGUGGUGGUUUUGGCGUCGGUUGUGGUUUUGGCGUCGGUGGUGGUGGAGGUGGAGGUAGAGGUGGAGAUGGUGGUGGUGGACAUUCAGGUUCAGGUGGCGGAGGAGGAGGACAAUCUUCAGGCGACGGAGCAGGAGCUUCACCGCCGCCGCCGCCGAUAAUGAUCUCUAACGUUUCCCUGUUAGUCCCAAUGAACGGAUACAGACCACCAUCAUCACCAUAAUCAUUGUCACUGACCACCUCGUGAGACCAACAAGAACCAAAAAUGGCGAUCAAAACUAAAAACGAAAGAGAAAGAUUACCCAUUGUUUUUCUUUGAGAAAUUGAGUGAAAGGCUAUGGUGGAUUAUAUAAGAUAAAAAAAAAAAUGGGGGCAAUAGGGGUGACCAUAAUUGAAGGAAAAGUCAAGGUUCACGACAUGGUACAAAGUUGGAUCGUACUGUUUUUGUCUUGGAAAAUGAAAGUUUUGUUAACAGCUGCU